UGGGAGGGAUCAGUUAGUAUGCUUCCAACAGGACUACCAUUCAGGGAGCACCAUUCACCCUGGAAAAUGGGUUGACAGAAACCUGAUGAAAGUCAACAAGGAAAAAUGCGAAAUCCUGUACCCUGGAAGGAAGACCACAACAGUGCUGGUGGGGGGCAGCCUGGCUGGAGAGUAGAGCUAUGGAAAAAGACCUGUGUGUCUUGGUCAACAGAAAGGUGACCAAGACCCAGCAGUGCACCUUGGUGGCAAAGAGAGUGCAACAGAAGCCUGAGCUGGGUUAACAGGGGCAUAGCCAGUAGACCAAGGGAAGUGAUUAUCUCACUCGGCUCAGCACUCAUUAGACCACAUCUAAAAUACUAUUUUGGACAGCCAUGAGAACAUGCAACCCUCCCCUGCACAUCCCAGGAUCCCCAAUUCCCUCCCCAAAGGUACCAUUGGUACCCCAGUAUCUCCCAGCAUCCCCAUUACCUACGCCUCUCCUAGCAAGUCUUCCUUAGGAUUCUCCCACCUCUCCACACAACAAGCACUCCAGGUCACUCCAGGAAGCCAAGACCUCCCAGAACCACCUAGGAACCCCAAAGCCCCCAGGACCCCCCAAUGCCCCCUAUCUACCCUGCCACCUACCCCCCGCCCCCGCCAACCCUGGCACCCCCAGAACUCUCUUAUUUCCUCAGGAUCCUCCAUGCACCCCAAGAUGCCUCUCAAUCCCGAGACACAGGCACACCCUCGCCCAUGCCCAAUGAACACAGGCACCCAGAGCCCCACUGUAGAGUUC